rnacentral:misc_RNA from 1 species
UCUCGCUUCCUGAGGAAUAAGCAUAAUCAAACAAAACUAUUCGGUUCUUUGACAUCUACUUAAAGAUGGUUUUAGAUAUGCAGAUUGGCCAAUCCACCAAUGCUUUAUCCUGUCAGGUUUCUGAACUUUCAACUACGUUUAUCCUGGCAAGUUCUGAACAGGCUGCUUAAUCUGAUGAAUUACUCGUACAGUCUUAUCCUAGUGAUUACGUAGGUUUGGCAAAUGGGGCACAAGUUCAAGACCCUUCCACAAUCAUAACAUGUCUGAUGUCCACAUCCAAAUGCAAGAUCUUUCUUAUUCCAUAAACACACGGGACAACUCCAACUCUGUGAAGAAUGAUCCACGGCAAGGCCAGAAAAAUCAUAAUCAAGUUCCAUUGUCUGUUCAUUGCUGCUUGGCCCUCUAUGCUUUGGAUAGGCACUCACCAAACUGAUUCCAAGUGGAGGAGGAAGAGGAUACCUCUUUGGAGUUCCUCUUUGGCAGCCUAGGAGAUGGAGACCUAUUGUAGCUUUGUAUUGUGAUGGUAUUUCCAUUAGUGCAGCUAGAGCAAACUCUGUCUCCUUCUUAGACAUUGAGAUGUUUUUUGACAUAAUUUCUGUGAAAUUCACAAACUGGAAAUUAUCAAAAGCUCGAGAAGGAAUGUUGUCAUCAAAUUUCUGCAUCAUGUCCCAUGGCCCAUCACCUACUCCGACCAGUACUAUUGACAACGGAUACUCACUUGCUUUUACAAUAGCAUUAAUGGUGCUAUGCUGCUGAUGACUCAACUGUCCGUGACCUGUAUCUACACUUCUUGUAACCUGCCCAUCAGCAAUGAUCAUGAGAACAUGAUACUGACCACCACUAUUGUCCACAAUUCCAAUUGCAGUUUCAAUGAUUGAAGCAAAAGAUGUUGGUCCAGCUAAACGAACAUUUGGAACUAUUUCUCUAUAACGACUCAAUACUUCCUCAAAUCCAUUACAUGGCCUAUCUUCUGGGUGGAAACUAAAAACUUCUUGGUCAUGAGUGCUGGCAUCACCAAAACCAUAACAAGGAAUAAGGUUAUCCUCAUCAAAAUGAGAAAGUGUUCUUCCAAUUAUUGAUAUUGCUUGUUCAUAAGGAUUCGGGAAAUCCCCAAGGUGAUGCAGGCUCUUCCUAUGGAAAGACCGUGCGCCAGUCCACUCAUUGCUUUUUGUGAAAUCAAUGCCCACAAUAAGAUUGGAAGAUUCCAAACCAGCUUGUGCAAGAGCUUGUGUCACCUGUUCUAGGGAGUAGUAAUCAUCACCAAUUCUUGAAUACCUUGACUGCAGCUUGCUUCUUCCAUCAUGAUCAAUAUACCUUGAAGAAUGAGACAAGUACGGUGGAUAGCUUGGGAGUGAUGGAGCCCCAUAAUUGUACGAAUCAUGCUGGUAGUGAUCCUGAUGCCUUGACUGUUUGCUUCCCAUAAUCAGAUCCUCAACUUUCAGAUGCUUCACAACUGGAUGAACUAUCUUUAAUGAAGCCUAACUUCUGCCCUCUAACUGCAGUGAAGCCAGAUCAUCAAUAACAAGAAAACAUAGUUUGUUUCAAAGAAAUUAUUAAAAGCCUACACUUUUCAUAACAAAACAAGUGAUG